rnacentral:lncRNA from 1 species
GUUCAGCCGCCAUCUCCAUGGUCCCGCCCCGCCGGCCUCCUGGCAGGCACUUUAAAAGCAGUGGGUCCGCCAGGCGGCCCUGCCGCGCUGCCUCUGCCAUGGCCCGGCUCGGUAGGUCGGUCGUUGUUGCUGCCGGCAUCUCGGGAGGAGCGUUCGAUUCUUCCUCACGGAACGCGCCCGAAGCAGCUGCAUGAACGGCUUCCAGGCGCCCCUCAGCCCACCGGGAGCCUCCCAGACCCGCUCCGGUGCUGAGCCCGCCCUGAGGAGCGAGCAGUGCUGGGCCCGGUGUGAUUUGUGCUCUCCGUGGCUCAGAGGAACGUGCAGGAUCGCUGCUGGCAAAGUUUAGGGAAGGUAGAAUAAUGAUGGUGCGCUUAAAGUGAUAUAAGUGAGUCAGUCAAAACAAUCUAUGUGUUGAGUUGAUUCGAAAUCUGUUUGAAAGUGCAAAUAGAGAAUCAUGUAUUUGAGGGGAAACAAAAACACUUUCUGCUCUAGGUAGAUAAACAUCUGUUGUGAUUUUCAUGGUUAACGGGACAUGUUAUGAAGCCCUUUUUUACUUUGAUAAUGGGUCUUUACAGUCAAAGAAAGUGGGAUAAUACACAAUGUUAGUGAGACAAACUAUUGCAGUAACGCAUCUUGUUCACAUAUGUAUUGACAGAUUAAAAAAAAAGAUAAUAGGAAAAAGACAAAAAAAAAAAAGUUUAAAAGAUUCCACGAUUUGAAAAUCUGCAAUAUUUCUUUAAUUAUCAAAACAUAAAAAAAAAAAAAAAAUACUUGGUCAUGAUAUGAAACAACUUGGAGAUGGAAUAUUUCACUACAGACAACUGUCCUUUCACGGAUAGUUGAGGUUAAUGGCAGUUAUCUCUGGUGAAGUCAUGUUCUGCCUAGCCAAAAGUAGUGAGAUUUAAGUGAAAUUCCUUAAGGGAUAUACUUUUUUUUAUGUUAAUUGCUUGAUCACAGACACAUAGAAUGGCUUAGUUUGGAAGGGACCUUAAAGACCAUCCAGUUCCAACCCUAUGCUAUGGACAAAGUUGAUACCCACCAGAUCAGGCUGCCCAGGGCUCAAUCCAACCUGGCCAUCCUCUGGGGAUGAGGCAUCUGUAACGUCCCUGGGCAGCCCGUGCCCGUGCCUCACCACCCUCUAAGUAAAGAGUUUCUUCUAAAUUUUCUCUUUUUUACUUUAAUGCCAUUUUGCCUUGUCCUGUCUCUAUUAGACCAUAUUGGUCCUCCUCCUGCUCAUAGGUUCCUUUCAAGUACUGGAAAACUACAACAAAGUCUCUCUGGAGCCUUCUCCAGGCUGAACAGGCUCAACUCCCUCAACCUUUCUUCAUACAUACUCCAAUCCUCUAGUCAUCUUUGUUGCCCUCCUCUGUACCUGCUCCAACAGCUUUGCAUCCUUCUUGUACUGGAGGGCCUAGACCUGCCCACAGCACUGCAGAUGGGGCCUCAUAAGGGCAGAGUAAAUCACGUCCCCCUCCCUGCUGGCCACCUUUCUUUUGAUGCAGCCCAGGAUACAGUUGGCCUUCCAGGCUUCAAAUGCACACUGCUGGCUCAUGUCCAGCUUUUCACCCACCAGAACGUGAUCUGAAAGAUGUUUUCUGUUCUUCAGAUUACCAGUGAAGUGGGUGAUGAAAUCAUGAAACAGAAAACUGAAAAUGAGCUAGAAGGACCUCUUGGCACUUAGUGGCCAGUAUUGGAAGUCGAAACGAUCCUAACAAAUUAAUGUAUUGAACCCAGCAGGAAGAAAUUUAAUACUGAAAAAUGCAAAUUAAGUUUGGGAAGAAAAAUCAAAAAGUAUGAUACUGGUAAAACUGAAUCACACCAGGAAAGAAUCUGAAGGAUGUAAUGGACCGUAAAUAUGAGUCAGCAACAUGCUACAAUUGGAAAAAAAAAAAAAAAAUAGUGAAAAGACAAUGCAACCUCAUUGUGAAGCAUAUUAUUAAGUGCCCUGACCAGACAGAUUGAUUUUUCUACUACGGACUGGUGAAGCCAGCUGUGUUUGGUCUCAAACUAGAGAGAGACCAAAGGAAAACAACAUUUAGAAAGUAAGAUGUAUAAUAUUUGAAAUAACACCGUUUCUUUAGUCUGAGAAAACCUAGGAUAAAGAGUCUAUUUGUAUGGAAAAUCUUGCUGUGAGAAGGACAAAAAUUUUAAUUAUUUUUGUAUUUAGGAUGAAGGAAAAAAAUAAUGAAGCAACUAAAUUAUCCUGGAGGUUCAAAUUCAGUGUUAGAUUGAACUUUCUACAAUAUGUAGGUAGUAGCAUUUGGAACUAGAGACCCAUUGAUAUGAAUGUGAAAUAUUUGUAAUUCAAGC